AGAUUGAACGCUGGCGGCAUGCCUAACACAUGCAAGUCGAACGGCAGCGCGGGUAGCAAUACCUGGCGGCGAGUGGCGGACGGGUGAGGAAUACAUAGGAAUCUACCCUGUCGUGGGGGAUAACGUAGGGAAACUUACGCUAAUACCGCAUACGACCGAGAGGUGAAAGCGGUGGACCGCAAGGCGUCGCGCGGCUGGAUGAGCCUAUGUCCGAUUAGCUAGUUGGCGGGGUAAGAGCCCACCAAGGCGACGAUCGGUAGCUGGUCUGAGAGGAUGAUCAGCCACACUGGGACUGAGACACGGCCCAGACUCCUACGGGAGGCAGCAGUGGGAAUAUUGGACAAUGGGCGCAAGCCUGAUCCAGCAAUGCCGCGUGUGUGAAGAAGGCCUUCGGUUGUAAAGCACUUUUGGUAACGGAAGAAAAGCCGUUAGGUUAAUACCCGAUGUGAUGACGGUACGUAAGAAUAAGCACGCUAACUCGUAGCCAG
rnacentral:rRNA from 1 species